UACCUGAGUGAUGAGGAGGAUAGCCAGCAGGAGGAUAACCAGCAUGACCAGGCGCAGGAGGAUAACCACCAUAACCAGGAGCAGGAGGGUAGGCACCAGGUGGAGGUGGGUAUGCACCCGGAGGAUAACCAGGUGCAGGUGGGUAGGCACCAGGUGGUGGGGGAGGGUAAGCUUGUUGUGGUGGGUAUCCAGCUGGUGGAUAAGCCCCAGGAAUGUAACCACCUUUAUUAAUCAAUAUGUAACCUCCUAUCCAAAAUUCUCGGACCAUUUACAAUUGGUUACGUUUUCCCCUUUUGUCAAUAUUGAGUCCAAUUUUUUUUGUUUUGAACUGAAUUUAGCCCAAACUAUUUUUAUGCUAUUUAAUAAUUUCAACCUUUUAAUUGGUGAAUAUAACACGUUACUUCAUGUAAUUAAUUUAUGCAGUUACAUUAUUGACAUAUGAUUCAAAAAACCAUAAAUAUAAAAAUUAAAUUUGUAAAAAAAUUUAAAACAAAAAAUAUAUCCGCCAGGCCGGUCAGAAUCUAGUUCUCAUUUAAACUAAUGCUUAAAAGACCACACAAAUCGUAUGCAUACAUAUACUCUGUUUCUUUUUCCUAUAACAAAUUAAUCAUCGUGUCUUUGUAUUAAUGGCGAUUUCUCUACAUGACACUUUUUGCAUUCUUGCUAAUUUUAAUUAGAGAUGUUGCUAUGAACAAACUUUACUUGAUUAAACCCAUUUUAAACUCACAUUUAUCCUUUUAAGGGUGUAUUCAAUCGUCCCACAAAAAAAAAAGGUGUAUUCAAUCAAAUAUAACAAUUUUUUUUUUCUCUCUCAAAUCACCCAAAAUCAUCUAGUUAUCAAGAUCAAAUAAUUUUAUGUUUGAUUGAAUACACCCACAAGGUGGGUAAGGAAUUCAGAAACUACCAUGUAGAUCAUCUUGAUCAUAUCAUAUCCAUGCCUUCUAAAACAGGUUAAGCAAUGCCAAAACCCAUAUAUACAAGGGCAUAAUAUAUGAAAUUAUAUUAAAAACAGAAUCAGUAAUAUCAUAAAACCAUAUAUAAUAGCUUCAUAGUACAACAUGUGAUAUCAUAAUCAUUAUUAAAGCCUCAAUUGUCAAACUUGAACCGGCGAGAGAUAAGAUUAAAAGAGGUUUUUAGAUCACUUCCACUUCUUGAACUUACCUCCUCCAAACAUCCCAUGCCUCCCAUGUUUAAACUUGCCUCCGUGAUGCUUGAACUUCCCGUGCUUGAACUUACCAUGACCAUGACCAUAACCAUAGCCAUAGCCAUGACCAUGUCCAAAUCCGUGACCAUAUGCUGCGUGUCCGUAAGGACCGUGAGAGCUAUGAGCUAUGUGGUGAGCUCCGUAGGCAGCUGCAGCACCUGCAAUCAUACCCCCGAUUCCAGCUGCGUGUCCUGAAACAAGUUAAGGCAAAUUACAUUAAUAGAAGAAAUAAACAGAAAGAGGCAAAAAAAAACAAGUUGUCUUUAUGAUGCUCAAAACUCUAAUGAGAUGAUUGCUACAUGAGUACACUUUCAAAGGUACGAUCUUUGGAGAACUUAUGUAACUGAUUUCAAUCUCAUGGAUGCGUUUUUGCAAUCAGAAUACGAACUCUUGCAUACCAAUAACAGUCAAAUGACUAUGGAUUCCUGUUGGCUACCAUAUAAAGUACGGUCAUUUCAAAACAAUAUAUUAUUAGCCCAACUUGUUGCUAAAAUGAAAUGUAACAACCGAGAUGAUAAUAUCGUUUUCACAACUACCAUGUAUAAACAUUAUUUGUUUCAACUUACUUAUGUGACAUGAUAUCUACCACAUAUAUAGACAAAAUUCUACAUUUCAGUUUCUCUCUAAAGUGACAUUUACCACAUUCAUAGCUAAAUUUUUUUUCACAACUAGCAAGAGGAGAUAGGGUACCUGAGUGAUGAGGAGGAUAGCCAGCAGGAGGAUAACCAGCAUGACCAGGCGCAGGAGGAUAACCACCAUAACCAGGAGCAGGAGGGUAGGCACCAGGUGGAGGUGGGUAUGCACCCGGAGGAUAACCAGGUGCAGGUGGGUAGGCACCAGGUGGUGGGGGAGGGUAAGCUUGUUGUGGUGGGUAUCCAGCUGGUGGAUAAGCCCCAGGACCUGGCGGGUAUCCAGCGGGUGGGUACCCAAAAAAACCUUUGUCUUUGUCUUCCUCACCUCCCAUGUUUUCUCUCAAUCAACAAAACAAA
rnacentral:lncRNA from 1 species